rnacentral:misc_RNA from 1 species
UUUCCGUAGGUGAACCUGCGGAAGGAUCAUUAACGAGUUAGUGUCUUCUAGGCUCGACCUCCCACCCCGUGGUUUACUGGACCGUUGUUUCCUCGGGGCGUCCGUCUGACCACGGCCUGGGGAGCGGCGCGAGGCGCCCACAACCCACCACCCACCGAUAGCCCUCCCUUGAAUACCCUUUGUUAAGCGAAACCUUUGUCUAAAUGUAUGAUUAGACAAUCAAAACAAGACUUUCAACAACGAAUCGCUUGGUUCUGGCAUGGACGACGAACGCAGCAG